CGGGUGAGUAACGCGUGGGUAACCUGCCUUAUACAGGGGGAUAACAGUCAGAAAUGGCUGCUAAUACCGCAUAGGCGCACAGAGCUGCAUGGCUCAGUGUGAAAAACUCCGGUGGUAUAAGAUGGACCCGCGUUGGAUUAGCUUGUUGGCGGGGUAACGGCCCACCAAGGCGACGAUCCAUAGCCGGCCUGAGAGGGUGAACGGCCACAUUGGGACUGAGACACGGCCCAG
rnacentral:rRNA from 1 species